UACGUAGGGUGCGAGCGUUGUCCGGAAUUAUUGGGCGUAAAGGGCUCGUAGGCUGUUUGUCGCGUCGGGAGUGAAAGUCCGGGGCUCAACUCCGGAUCUGCGGUGGGUACGGGCAGACUAGAGUGAUGUAGGGGAGACUGGAAUUCCUGGUGUAGCGGUGAAAUGCGCAGAUAUCAGGAGGAACACCGGUGGCGAAGGCGGAUCUCUGGGCCUUACCUGACGCUGAGGCACGAAAGCGUGGGGAGCAAACAGG
rnacentral:rRNA from 1 species